GCUGCUUUCAUUGCCGGACCGGCAAGCUGUACUGUUGAAGAGGCUGUUCUGCCAGGCAUGCUAGAUGCCCAACUGAGGACAGCGAUGGAAAAUUCACUGCAGAUGAAUAUGCAGGUGCUGUUGUUGGUGUUGUAACGAAGACAUGAUGAAGAAAUUUCAAGAAUCGCCAUGAAAUGUUUUUUUUUAUUAAAUUUACCUCACCUGAGCCAACCGCUCACAGGUGAGGUGUUGUGAUUGCUCAUCUUUCGUAUAUAGGAUAUUUGUUUGUUUCAGUGAAAUAUCAAUUUCAUUUCACAAGUGAGCAUCAAAAACUGAUAUUUUACACGAGUGGCAUAGACAUGAGUGAAAAUGACUUGUUUUGGUGCUCACAAGUGAAAUAAGAUUGAUAUGUCACUGUCACAAACAAAUUUUCUUUUUAUUUCAUGUGUAAAACUCUUAUUUUGUGGCAUAAUUUAUAGAAUGUCGAAAAUCGCGGAAAAGGUCACAGAAAGCAUAACGCAAAUCAGGUCAUUUUAACAACGUCAUCAUCAUUAUGGUCCCCGGUAUUCAUAAUUUUGUUUUUAGCUCGAAUAUUCAAAGAAUAGUCUAGCUAUUCUACUCACCCUGGCGUCGGCGUCGGCGUCACACCUUGGUUAAGUUU
rnacentral:lncRNA from 1 species